AUUUUCUUCCCCUUUGUAACCUACAUAACCGCCCAAAUCGACACAGAGGCUCUCCAGUCAUCGCUCACCACCACCGGUUUGCCCCAAAUCGACGUUGGCGACCUAACACUACAACACCACAAGGCAAGAGAUGGUUUUUGUCAGGUAAAUUAGGGCUCCAACAGGUAUGUUUAGCUUAAUCGUAGUGUUCAUUCGUUGGAAUUGUUGUUGCUUUCGUGAUGGUGGGUAUGCUUACAGUAAGAAGAUGGAGGCGGCGCGAGGAACCCGUUUAACACCGUUACACCGGCAAGAAUUUUGUGUUGGCUAACUUUAAGUUCCUUUAAAAGGUUGGGGGUGGAUAGGCAGGUGUUGCUUUCAUGAUAUAGAUGUUGCUCCCGAUGGUCAAAGAUUGAAGUUUGGCAUCUACUGGAUCCACAAAGAGUUGCAUGAUAUGAAAUCUCUAUACAAGUGACACCACGCUGCUCAUCAUAUCUACAAUACCCUUUCCCCUUUUGCUGGAUUGGCAUUCCACUUUAUAAACGGGAUACUACCACAUGUAAUUGCUCUGUUUCUUGUCCCAACACAUUUCGGGAUUGCAUUCAUGGAAGUUGUAACCAGUAAUGGUGCAGGGUGUUGGAAGACGAGGCCAAGAAUACACAAUAAUAAACUGAUUUUGGAAUUUAAAAAAACAUUCAGUGAUGGGUGUUAAGAAUGAAGUUACUCGCGAACUCCAUCUCAACCUCGACGUCAUGGACCACAGUCAUAGUUAUAAGGGUCACAACUACAGAAGUCAUGAGGACACAUUUCAGCAUUUGAAACGGUUUAGUUUGGCCUAUCUUCUAAUGUGGUAUUUAGCGUGUACUAACCCAGCAGUGAUAUGUCUCUCCUGAACCAGAACAAGAUGACAAUGAGACACUAACUUAAAGUAUAAGAAGGCUACAACGUUCGUGUUUAUCAUAUUUAAUGAGGUUAUGUAUUGUAUUGAUUCGUGUUUCUUCCUUAAUCGCCCGCGCCACAACGCGGGCGGAUCUAUCUUCUAGUUAUUUUACCAUUACGUUGGUUUUGGUGGGUCAAUGAUGGCAUAAAGCCCAUCAUAUUUGAUUAAAUGAAAAGAGGCCAUAUGAAGCAAAUGAAUUUUUUUCGA